AUGCCGUCGGUGGCCUCUCCGGCCUCACGAGCCUCAACCUCUCAAACAACAACAUCACCGGCGCCUUCCCGACCAGCGUGUACCGUUGCGCUUCCCUGCGGCACCUCGAUCUGUCCCUUACCUACCUCGGCGGGCAUUACUGUCGGCGGGGAGCUCCCCGUCGGCAUCGGCCACGCGCUCGGGGAGAACCUUACCUCUCUGAUGCUCAAUGACAUCUACUUCACCGGUACCAUCCCCACCUCCUUGUCCCAGCUACGGAACCUCCAGUCCCUGGCGCUGGACGGCAACUACCUCACCGGCACCAUCCCGGCAGAGCUCGGCGACCUGACGGGCCUCCGGACGCUGCGGCUCGGGUACAACAUGUUCAGUGCAGGCAAUUUGCCGGCGUCGUUCAAGGGCCUGACUAAGCUGAAAACCUUCUCGGCGGCGAAUUGCAACCUCACAAGCGACUUCCCGGGCUAUGUGACGGAGAUGCUGGAGUUGGAGGUGCUCGACCUCUCGCUCAACUACUUGACCGGAAGUAUACCUCCGGGCAUCUGGAACCUCACCAAGUUGAGACUUCUAGCUAAAUAUGCAAACAACCUCACCGGAGAGGUCGUCGUCGAUGGUGAUUUCGGCGCGGUGAAUUUGGUGAUGAUCGACCUGUCCUCGAAUCACAUGCUAAGUGGGCCGAUUCCGGAAGCCUUCGGUCACUUGCCAAAGCUGGAAACACUGAACUUGUACUACAACAACUUCUCCGGUGAGAUACCUGCGAGCAUCGGGCGGUCGCCUUCACUGGUGAAGUUGGGAUUGUUCAGCAAUCGUCUCAACGGGACGCUCCCUCCGGACUUUGGCAAGAGCUCAUCGGGCUUGAUAUAUGUUGAAGUUGAUGGCAACGAGAUCACUGGCGCGAUACCGGAGGGGCUUUGCGCCAACGGCAAGUUCCAGACGCUCACCGCCAAGAACAACCACUUGAACGGCUCCAUCCCCGCAGGCCUCGCUGGUUGUGCCACGCUCAUGGUACUACACCUCGACAAUAACACUAUCGGGCGAGAUACGUGA
rnacentral:rRNA from 1 species